UACGUAGGGGUCGAGCGUUGUCCGGAGUUACUGGGCGUAAAGCGUGCGCAGGCGGCUCAUCGCGCUCGGCGUGAAAGCCCCCGGCUCAACCGGGGAGGGUCGUCGAGGACGGAUGGGCUUGAGGGUAUCAGGGGUUGGUGGAAUUCCCGGUGUAGUGGUGAAAUGCGCAGAUAUCAGGAGGAACACCGGUGGCGAAGGCGGCUUGCUGGGCCAGUUCUGACGCUGAGGAGCGAAAGCGUGGGGAGCGAACAGG
rnacentral:rRNA from 1 species